AAAGCCCGUGCACAGCAGCGAAGACCCAAUGCAGCCAAAAAUAAAUUAAAUAAAAUAAAUAAAAAAAUAAAAAGUAAAAAGAUGGCCACAAAAUCUUUUGUGUCCUUGCAUAGAGACCAGAAGUCUAUUUCUCCUCCCCUUGAGUCUGGGCUGGCUUCGUGACCUGUUUUGACAAAUAGAAGCAGCAGAAGUGAUACUGUGCCAGGUCUUAAAAGACUGUGCAGCUUCCACGUUUGCCCUCUUGGAGCCCCAAGCCACAUGGAAAGAGGUUCAGCCACCCAGAUGGAGAGCUGAAAGGUGCCUGGCUAAAAGAAAACUGUUUCUCUGCUCGUAGCACUUCUGACUCCAAGUGUGUAGAUUUUCCACACCAAGCAAUUCUCCAAUUCUCUGUGCACACGAAGUGGUGUCCCACAAUUUAAUUCAAUUCUGACAUUAUUAAUCUAGAAUUAGCACACAGGUUAAGGGAUCAGUCCCACUAUGCAAAUAGUGGGUCCCCAGGUUACCCACACUUCUGUCCAACUUCUGUCCAACUUCUGUCCAACUUCUGGCUACGAAUCAGGAGUUCCCACGACCCUCCGCUCAGGUUUGAUAAUUUGCUAUAAUGGCUCAGAACUCAGGGAAACACUCUGCUUACUAUUAUUGGCUCAUUAUAAAGGAUACUGUAAAGGGUACAGAGGAACAGCCAAAGGAAGAGGUACAUGGGGUGGGGUCUGGAAGAAUCCUGAGCACAGGAGCUUCUGUCCCGUGAAUUUGGGGUAUGCAUCCUCCCGGCACAUAGACAUGUUCACCAAACUAGAAGCUCUCUGAACAAUCUAUAGUUUAGUCAUUUUAGGAAGGUCCCAUUUUGUAGGUAUGAUUGAUUAAAUCACUGGCCAUUGAUCAUUAACUCAGUCUCCAGCUUCUCUCCUCUCCAUGGAGGCUGGGAGUGGGACUGAAAGUUCUAAUCCUCUAGUCACUUGGUUGGUUCCUCUGGUGACCAGCCUGUAUCCUGGGGCUUUUGGCCACCAUUCAUCUUAUUAACAUAAACUCAAGCAUGGUUGAAAGGAGUUUAUUAUGAUUAACAAAGACCCUUCUCUCACCACAUCACUCAGGAAAUCACAAAAAUUUUAAGAGCUCUGUGACAGGAACUGGGACGAAGACCAAAUAUAGAUGUCUUAUUUUAUCACAGUGUCACAUUGGCCAAGCCCUUGAUGUUCCAGCUGUCACAGUGAGACACCAGACUUGUGGGAAAACCUGUCUUGAAUUCCCAGCCGCAGGCAAAGAGCUGUCCUGCUAAGUCCAGCGAACCCAAAUUGCACAACUGUCUUGAGAUCAUCCUGCAUGGACCCCAUCGCUGGUGAGCGCUUUUCUGCCCCUGAAAUCCUUUUAAGCCUGGGGAAAAGAGAGUAAGGAGAAAGUGGAAUGUGAAAGCAGCAAUCAGCUGGAAAUUCUGUCAGAUAAACAAUGAACGUGGAAUACUUAGGAAUACUGAGGAGCUUCAAGAUGGCGGAAGGGUAAGACGCGGAGAUCACCUUCCUCUCCACAAAUACAUCAGAAAUACAUCUACACGUGGAACAACUCCUAAAGAACACCUACUGAACGCUGGCAGAAGACCUCAGACCUCCCAAAAGGCAAGAAACUCCCCACAUACCUGGGUAGGGCUAAAGAAAACAAGAAAAAA